rnacentral:lncRNA from 1 species
GAAGCUGUUGGCGACAAGCUUGUAAAACUGUAGAUACUUACACCGAGGCAAUAGAAAACCACCCACAAGGACACACAUCUGGGGAGCAGAAAAAACACACACACCACACACAGGCAGCAGCUAGUGUGUAUGGGCGUGUCCUUGCCAUUAGAGGCGCUAGACGAAACACAAACACGCUGAUUCAAUUGCAACUCUCCCACACUAUCGCUCGCUGCAUGUACUAUUGCCAGAAUUUAAGGGAGCUUAAAAGUCCCUGGAAACGGCACGCACAAGUUAACAAUCAUUUAAUUUGCAUGUUUCAAAUAACAAUUUUGGCCGCUUCCAACCCCACUGAUAAAUUGCAGUUGCCGGCAAAGCUCUAAUUGCAAAUCGAGAAUAAUGGGCCCCCAAUGGAAUGGAAACUAAGUAUAUAUAUUUGAACGAGUUGGACAAUGAUCGAAUUUACAUUCACAAAAAGAGUUAUUUUGGAACGGAGCUACACCUGAAAGUUCCACGAACAGACCAGACUGUGGCAAUUUGUUUCCAAGGUAAUUAGUUCCGCGAAAGUGCACUUUUUGCUCAAAGUAAUUAGUUCAGUGGAGUUUC